GACGAACGCUGGCGGCGUGCUUAACACAUGCAAGUGGAGCGACGAACCGGGGCUUGCCCCGGGGCAGAGCCGCGAACGGGUGAGUAACACGUGGGUAACCCACCCCGAUGAUUGGGACAACCCGGGGAAACUCGGGCUAAUACCAAAUGUGCUCGAAGACCAUGAGGUCUCCGAGUAAAGAUAGCUUCGGCCUUCGCAUCGGGACGGGCCCGCGGCCCAUUAGCUUGUUGGUGAGGUAACGGCUCACCAAGGCGACGAUGGGUAGCUGGUCUGAGAGGACGAUCAGCCACACUGGGACUGAGACACGGCCCAGACUCCUACGGGAGGCAGCAGUGGGGAAUCUUGCGCAAUGCGCGAAAGCGUGACGCAGCAACGCCGCGUGGAGGAAGACGGUCUUCGGAUUGUAAACUCCUUUCGCCAUUGACGAAGCCCUUUGGGGUGACGGUAGGUGGAGAAGAAGCACCGGCUAACUACGUGCCAGCCGCCGCAGUAAUAC
rnacentral:rRNA from 1 species